UCUCCACAUAGGUGUCCACUCUGAGGUCCACCUGAAGCAGUCUGGACCUAAGGUCAGUGAAGAUAUCCUGCAAGGCUUCUGGUUACUCAUUCACUGGCUACUACAUGCACUGGGUGAAGUCCUGUAAAAAGCCUUCAAAGGAUUGGAUAUAUUAUUCCUUACAGUGGUGGUACUGGGUACAAUGAAAAGUUCAAGGGCAAGGCCACAUUGUCUGCAGACAAAUUCUUCAGCACAACCUAUAUGUACUUCAGCAGCCUGACAUCUGAGGACUCUGUGGACUCUUACUGUGCAAGA